GAAAGAGAGAAGCUGAAAGAGGGGAGAAGGGAGGGGGAAAGAGCUUGCUCUCUGGGUGGUUUUCAGAAGCUCUUGGCGACACACUUGCUUCCACGUGCCUUCCUUUUGUUUCCGGUUUACCUCUACUACUGUGCGUGUGCAAGGUGUCUGUUCCAGGAAGUGUUCAUGGAUUCCACAGCAUUUCUCCCACCAACUGCCUAUUGGAAAGAACUUCUGUGCUUUCCUCCAUUGACCAGGGAUUCCUACCUCAUCAGGAAAAUGCAG